rnacentral:rRNA from 1 species
GACGAACGCUGGCGGCGUGCUUAACACAUGCAAGUCGAACGGAAAGGCCUGCUUUCCCUUGUGGAUUGCGGGUACUCGAGUGGCGAACGGGUGAGUAACACGUGAGUGAUCUGCCCCCAACUUGGGUAUAAGCCUGGGAAACUGGGUCUAAUUCCCGAUAGGACUGCAGGGUGGUGCCUGUGGUGGAAAACGAUUUUCUAGUGGUUGGGGAUGAGCUCGCGGCCUAUCAGCUUGUUGGUGGGGUAAUGGCCUACCAAGGCGGCGACGGGUAGCCGGCCUGGGAGUGUGGACGGCCACAUUGGGACUGGGAUACGGCCCAGACUCCUACGGGAGGCAGCAGUGGGGAAUAUUGCACAAUGGGCGGAAGCCUGAUGCAGCGACGCCGCGUGGAGGAUGACGGCCUUGGGGUUGUAAACUCCUUGCGACCGCGAGGAAGCCACCUGGUUGGAAGGGUGGUGACGGUAGUGGUAGAAGAAGCACCGGCUAACUACGUG